AGCUUUGCGCAGAGGCAGCGUCAUAGCCAAGGACGUUCAACCGAGGCGUGACUAUUGCUAGUUGAAAGAAAGUUACAAAUGGCAAUCAGUCUCUUAUAAAGAAGAACAGAAAUUAAAAAUUCAAAUAGGAUACAAGGGACAAUUUCU